GUGGAUCGAGCUCAACUCUUAAGCCCGCUGAAGGGUCUAAAUCUACUCCAGCUUCCUCGGAGGGCGCGAGGGAAACCUCCCUAGCCAUUGUGGAGCAGACCCAAGUCGUUGAGCAAGUGGAGUCGGGUCUUGUCCAUUCUCCUGAAGGGGUGUCAGGGGGAAAAUCUAAGUCCCCCGUUACUGAAGACAAGGAGGCCUCUGGGACAGGGAUGGAGAUCAUCCUCAUAGAGGACCAAAUCCCAGAUGUUCCUACCCAAGAUGCCCCUGCCUCUGUGGGGACUGGGCCUGAGGGGUCUGAAGGCAUUCCACUAAAGACCGGGGAUAAGCGCCCAGCCCCUUCUGGAACAUCUUCCCCAUCUCCUGCUCGGAAGA
rnacentral:lncRNA from 1 species